rnacentral:rRNA from 1 species
CGUAACAAGGUCUCCGUUGGUGAACCAGCGGAGGGAUCAUUACAGAGUUAUCCAACUCCCAAACCCAUGUGAACUUAUCUCUUUGUUGCCUCGGCGCAAGCUACCCGGGACCUCGCGCCCCGGGCGGCCCGCCGGCGGACAAACCAAAACUCUUGUUAUCUUAGUUGAUUAUCUGAGUGUCUUAUUUAAUAAGUCAAAACUUUCAACAACGGAUCUCUUGGUUCUGGCAUCGAUGAAGAACGCAGCGAAAUGCGAUAAGUAAUGUGAAUUGCAGAAUUCAGUGAAUCAUCGAAUCUUUGAACGCACAUUGCGCCCAUUAGUAUUCUAGUGGGCAUGCCUGUUCGAGCGUCAUUUCAACCCCUAAGCACAGCUUAUUGUUGGGAACCUACGGCUUCGUAGUUCCUCAAAGACAUUGGCGGAGUGGCAGUGGUCCUCUGAGCGUAGUAAUCUUUUAUCUCGCUUCUGUUAGGUGCUGCCCCCCCGGCCGUAAAACCCCCA